GAUGAACGCUGGCGGCGUGCUUAACACAUGCAAGCCGAACGGAAAGGCCCAAGCUUGCUUGGGUACUCGAGUGGCGAACGGGUGAGUAACACGUGGGUGAUCUGCCCUGCACUUCGGGAUAAGCCUGGGAAACUGGGUCUAAUACCGGAUAGGACCACUUCUUGGAUGUUGUGGUGGAAAGUUUUUUCGGUGUGGGAUGAGCUCGCGGCCUAUCAGCUUGUUGGUGGGGUAAUGGGCUACCAAGGCGUCGACGGGUAGCCGGCCUGAGAGGGUGUACGGCCACAUUCGGACUGAGAUACGGCCCAGACUCCUACUAGAGGCAGCAGUGGGGAAUAUUGCACAAUGGGCGCAAGCCUGAUGCAGCGACGCCGCGUGGGGGAUGACGGCCCUCGGGUUGUAAACUCCUUUCGCUAGGAACGAAGCGUUUUGUGACGUUACCUAGAGGAGAAGCACCGGCUAACUACGUG
rnacentral:rRNA from 1 species